CGAGAGAGGGAGAGAGAAGAGGUCAACUCUGAGACAGAAACUGUGAGAGCGACAGUGAUCGAGAGAGAGAGUGAGACGGCAACUCUGAGAGAUAAUAGAGGUCUGAGUUUGUUUGGGAAGAGAUCCGGUUUCAGUAUAGAGAGAUUGAGAGACAGAAGCACUGAGAGCGAAGUAGAGGUCGAUAGCAAAAUUUGGAUCGGUUUGUUUUGUUUUGUAUCUAGAGAGAUUGGCGCAGAGGCUUCGCUGCAGAGAUAGAGAGAUAUUCGUAUAGAAUCUUCGCAUAAUUGGUGGUUUAAGAUUGCUCAGAAGUCAUGAGUCUUUUACCAAUCAAGGCAGCCAAAAUACUAGCUGAAAGUUACAGUGGAGGAAUAAAACAUGACUUAAAGUGUGGCAAUAGCCCUUACCCCGAUGACAGAAUUUCCAUGAUCUAAAGCUUUAGAACAUCAGAUUAUUAUCUGAACCAAGCCACCAAAAGUUGCCAAAGAGUAACAGUGGUAGACAAACAGAGAACAAAACUGCAGCUGACAUCAAAUCUGUACAGUACGAACUUUGAAGCACCCAAGUAUGUGGAACAUAAAAAAAUUGAUGAAAAAGUUCACACAGAGUAUCAUUCUAAGCACUUACCCCAAAGAAACUUGAAGUUGCCUCCUCAAAUUACCAACCACAUGAUGAAUGGAUGCAUGGAGCUCAAAUAGUUGUGUCUAAUAUGAGGAAUGUGACAAAUCACGAUGGUUGAUGCCUGGGAUGUUUAGAGCCAAUGCGAAUGCGGUUACUUGAAAAGGCAUGCCUUUUUUACGCACAAGAGCUCAAAUGAUGAGGUUUUUGAUGCUAAAAAGACCUUGAUAGUGACAAAGACAUUGAAGCAUUGCUUCGCUUCAGCAUAUUUUGUGGCCUUACUUCAUGACAGUCUUGGAAUCUCUUUGGAUCAUGAAAGGUAUACGCAUUUUAUUGCAGAAUUGUAUACCCCUCGAUUACUCAAUUACAGACAAGACUGCCAUGUUGGUUUUAGUUCAGUAGUACUUCUUUAGACGAGUUCUCCAAUUGCCAUAAUGAUCUUUAAACCGACUCCAAUAUUUUUUGAAUGUUUCCUCUUGCUUAGUGCUAUAUAUUAGACAUGCUGUUCCUUUUGCAGGUAACUAGCAUUUCACAACUACAAUGGGAGCAACCAUUUUUUUUACACUUACUCCAGUAACAAAUUUUGCUACGCUGGUUUAGAAGUAAACCUUUUGUAAAGCUACAACUAAAGCAGCUGAACCUGUUCUAAAAUAGCAUUGCUGAAACAAUUCCAAUAGCGAACCCAUUUUUUUUUUCAAUCAACUGUCAGGUUAACCUUUUGUAUAUAAAAAAACUUUCACUCUUUCAAUAAAAAAAAAAAAAAAAAAAAACAAACCCUAGCUCUCUCUCUCUCUCUCCCAUAGCUGUCCAGGUCUUCUCCUCUUCUUCUAGUGUCGCUCGUCCGGCGGCGGCCCAGCGUCGGUGUCAACCUUGGUUGCGCUGAUGCUAUAGAGCUGCUGCCGGACGGGUGGUGUUUUGGGCUUGCCUUCGGACCUGGAAUGGGUUUGCUUGGAGGCGGAUCAAUGGUGGUGGUCAAUCUGUGUCUGGUCUCCCUGCAACGCUUGAGGCGGUAUGGUCAUGAUCGUUUUCAUGGGUCGGCGCUAGGUGGCGUGGGAUGGUUCUCACCAGACGGCAGCGGCUGUGUGUUGGCGUAGGGUGGUUACCAGAUGGCGGCGGCUGUGUUUGGUAUUACGGAGGCGGCGGAUCGGGGUGCUGUUUCUGGGAGGAUUGUUGUGGCAAGCCCUCUGAAGAUGGUGUCGAGGUUCGUCUGGCUCUGAUGGUAUCCGGUCUGUGAGACGGCGGCGGCGGUCGUUGGGUCUGAUGAUGCUGCACAGCGAAGCAGGGCUGGGCUAGGCUGGGCCAGACUUUGGUUUGCGUCUGGGUUGGGCCUCUCUUGGGCUCUUGGGCGGCUGCUCUUAAUUAAUGUUGCUUGUUUUUUAUUUGUCAAUAAACCCCUUGUUCUAUAAGGGAUUGUUUUAGUGGGCUUCAGCCCGAUCUAGGCUUUUUUAGUUCUUGAGUCGUCAGUUUAGGUGACAAACCUCGAUCAUUUUUAGCUCGAUCGGGUUUGUCUUGUCUAUGCUCGUUGAAGCUCCUCUAGGAGCCUUUGUAGAAGUACUUGGUUUCAACGUACCACAAUUGCGUGCUCGGCGUUUGGGGUCAGGUAGAUUAGAUUGCCUACGAGGCGAGGUGUUUUUUGCUAGCAUAGACUACUCUACGCUAUCAAUGUGUAUACAGAGUAGUCUUUAGUACUAUUCUAACCCAUGAUUCAGGGUCAUAUUAUUGCUAUGAACUCUUUAUAUAAAAAAAAAAUAGAAUGCAAUAAUUUUUCUUC